UACGUAGGGUGCAAGCGUUGUCCGGAAUUAUUGGGCGUAAAGGGCUCGUAGGCGGUCCGUCACGUCGGCUGUGAAAACCCCGGGCUCAACCCUGGGCCUGCAGUCGAUACGGGCAAGCUAGAGUUCGGUAGGGGAGACUGGAAUUCCUGGUGUAGCGGUGAAAUGCGCAGAUAUCAGGAGGAACACCGGUGGCGAAGGCGGGUCUCUGGGCCGAUACUGACGCUGAGGAGCGAAAGCGUGGGGAGCAAACAGG
rnacentral:rRNA from 1 species